GGAGGAUUCAAGCGUUAUCCGGAUUUAUUGGGUUUAAAGGGUGCGUAGGCGGUUUGAUAAGUUAGAGGUGAAAUACCGGUGCUUAACACCGGAACUGCCUCUAAUACUGUUGAGCUAGAGAGUAGUUGCGGUAGGCGGAAUGUAUGGUGUAGCGGUGAAAUGCUUAGAGAUCAUACAGAACACCGAUUGCGAAGGCAGCUUACCAAACUAUAUCUGACGUUGAGGCACGAAAGCGUGGGGAGCAAACAGGAUUAGAUACCCUGGUAGUCCACGCAGUAAACGAUGAUAACUCGCUGUCGGCGAUACACAGUCGGUGGCUAAGCGAAUNGCGAUNAGUU
rnacentral:rRNA from 1 species